ensembl:lncRNA
AUGUACAAUCAAGGACCAACAGUCGGAAGAAUAAACCCUGCAUUCACUGACCCUCAGGAUGAACAGGAUCAUCUGGAGAAGUCAAGGAUGGAUCAGUCUGUGCAACCACCAUACUAUCCCAGCGCAGGAUACCAGAUCCCAAGAGUCAAUCCCAUCUCUUCUGGAUAUCCAAACCAACCGUACGGAGCUCCAGUAGGCCCUCAGGGCCCGUAUGUCCAGCAGUCAUAUCCAGGAAGGGCUGUGUAUCCCCAAGCAGCGUAUGAUGGUCAAACUGGUGUCACAGUUCAGCCGGCUGUGUUCAUGGCUCCAGUGCUAAUGGCUGCUCCGGAUUACUUGGGCUACUCCAUCUUUACCAUGCUGUGCUGCUGUUUACCUCUGGGCAUUGCUGCUAUUGUCUACUCGUGCUAUACUCGAGAUGCUAACUUGUCUGGACAGCGAGAGUUAGCGAUGAGCAGCUCCAGAGCGGCGUUGAUCCUGAACAAUGUGGCUUUCUGUCUCGGCAUUCUAAUCAUCACUGCAGUCACUAUUGUAAUACUUUAUGUGAACGAAGUAUUUGAUUGA